UCCUUCCUUCCUUCCUUCCUUCCUUCCUUCCUUCCUUCCUUCCUUCUUUCUUCCUUCCAUCCUCUCCCUGUCCAGGUAUGCUCUGAUGACAAUAUCUCUUUUCUUUCUGCCUCCAUUAACUUUCACACAGAUAUCCUUUGACAUGCCUGACCCACAAUGCCCUCUGCCCUACGACUAGAAAUUAGAGAAUAGUUGCUGAUCUGCACUGUUGGAAGAGGUUUCUGUUAUGGGAGUGCCCCUGUCAACCACAGAUCUGCUCAAAUAAAUAAACAAACACAAUGUUAACCUCAUUUGCAGGGCUGUGGUGGGGUCCAACUGAAGAGACAACCUUUGCUGCUGGACUCCUCUGAACCACAGUAUCCUUGCUGCCCUGCCCUAGUUAGGUUUCUCUCAGAUGAAGGCAGAAGAGUGGGGAAGGGGCUGUCCUGGGUUUAUCGGCUGGAGCCAGGAGAGCAGAAAGGCAGAGAGGCAAUACCCACGUGUCCAGGCCCAUUGAUGCCCCUCAGGACCAGCUCUUCCUUUACUAGACCAACCCUCCUACCCCAUGAACCCCAGUUCCCUGGUGCCCCUGAGCCAGCCUAGUUUAUGCCAGUCAAAACCGAUGCCUCAGGGCGACAGCUGGGCUCCCCUCCCACCUGCAGCAGCAUUAGGGCUCCCCACCCACCUUUGGAGUCCACCUUAUUUCCCAGGAGCCCCCUCCCAUCAGCCCCCAGGGCACAGCAGACAUUGACAUGGCCCCUUGGAUGGAAAGCUUUCUGUAAUGCUCAGUUCUGCUAUCACCAUCCAGAGUCCAAAUGGGGCCCCUUCUCUCUCCCUGCAGCUGUAAGACUAGAGCCCUCACCCAGUAUCCACCCCCCCACCCAAGUCCCCACCCUUCGCCCUUCACAGGAAUGAGUCAGCCGCAAAGCACCUAGCAAAGCCCCACCUUGGGAUUGUGCCAGCUCCCAAAAGGUCUGAGGUCUCUCUCAAGCUGAAGUCAUUAGCACCCCCAAACCUGCCCCUCCUUCCAACUUCCUUAUAUCUGGAUAGGAUGCAUCAUCCUCCCAGUCCCCCUGGAGUGAGCUUUGGGUCUUCUCUCUCCUUCCCCUUCCCUGUCCGGUCCCGCUGAUUCUUCCUCUGAAAGCAUUUCCCAUCUCUGCUCACAGAUGUACAGAUGGAAGGGAUUGCAGUGGACUCAGAAAGUUUUGAAUUGAAAUUUCGCCUCAAAUACUUCCUAGCAGUGGGACCACACAGUUAAUUAACCAUCCAAGACCUCAGUUUCCUCAUCUGCAAAAUGGAAACAACAAUAAUAAUUGUUACUCAGUUGUUUUUGACUCUUUGUGACCCCCUUUAGAAUUUUCUUGGCAAAGACACUGGGAGUAGUUUGUCAUUUCCUUUUCCAGCUCAUUUUACAGAUGGGAAAACUGAGGCAAACAUGGUUAAGUGAAUUACUCAGGGUCAUAUAGCAAGUUUGUGUCUGGAGUGGUUUUCCAUUUCCUUCUCCAUUUAAUUUUACAGGUGAGGAAACUGAGGCAAAUAGGGUGACUUGCUCAGGAUCACACAGCUAGGAAGUGUCUGAGGCUGGAUUUGAACUCAUGUCUUCCUGACUCCAGGCCCAAUGUAUUAUCCACUGUGCUACCUAGCUGCCCAAUAAUAUUAAUAACCAGAAGGAACAAGGUGGGAAUAAUUAUACCUCCCAGGGGUGUGAGGACCAAAUCUACUAUAUAAAUAAAUGCUAGUUAUUAUUAUUGUCUAGUUCAACCCCUUCAGUGGUCUCAGAGAAGGCAUAUGAUUUUCCCAAGGUCCUCCAGGUAGCCAAGAAAAGAGCCUAGAUGGAUAUUUAGGACCUCUCUGACUCCAUCAGGAGCUUUUUUUGUCCCUGGAUCUUGCACACGGCCACUACCAGGAUUCAGGUUGUCUCUCAAGGGGACACGAGAACCAUCUUCAAGUCUCUGAGGGGUGUCAUGCAGAAGGGCGAGACAGUCUGUUCAGAACCAGCAGAAAUUAAUGGAAAGGGCAAAGAGGCAAUCGGAGGCUCAAAAUAGAGGCUUUCUGACCACGAGAGCUGUCUAAAAGCAGAAGAGGCUGCCUGGAAAGCUCGCCCGCUGUGGAGGUCUUUGAACAAAGGCUGGAUGGCCAAUUGCCCAGGAUCCCUUUCAUCUGUAGGUUGGACUGUCUGGCCACUGAGGUCCCUUCCAGUUUUCAGAUUCUGUGAUUCUCCCUUGGAUUCCUGAAUUAGCUUCUCUUCCUCCUCGUCUCCAGUCUUAGAAACAGAUAUUUAGAGCUGGGAGGAACUUCCAAUGCCAUUGAGUCAAAUCCCUCAUUUUAGAGUUGGGGAAACUGAGUCCCAGAACCAUAAGAUUUGACCAAGGUCAUACAGGGAAUAACGGUCAAAGAUGGGAUUUGAACCCUUGUCCUCUGACUCUAGUCAGUGUUGUUUCCGUUGUACCACACUGGCUGCCUAUCAAUCCAUUCUUUUACACUACUGCCAAAGUAAAAUUCCUAAUGAGAUCUGCUUUAUGUUUCUACCCUACCUUCAGUGGCUCCCCAUUGCCUGUAGGAUAAAAACAAACUCUUUGAGGAGAUAUGGGGAGGCAUUCAGAAGCUUCUCUCCCCCCUCACUUUUGCCUCUUAGCCUCUGGAUUCCUUUAACACUCAGCUCCCACAUUCUUCAAGACGUCUUUCCCAAUCCCCUUUACUAAUAGUGUCAUCUCUUCUGAGAUUACCUUCCAUUUAUUCUGUGAGAAAAACCAGCUAGGUGGUUCAGUGAUUAGAGUGUUGGGUCCGGAGUUAGGGAGACCUGAGUUUAAAUUCAGCCUCAGAUACUCAUUAGCUGUGUGACCCUGGUCAAGUCACUUAACUUCUGUUUGCCUUAAUCCACUGGAGAAGGAAAUGGCCAACCAUGCCAGUAUCUUUGCCAAGAAAAUCCCAAAUGGAGUCAUGAAGUAGGACCCAACUGAGCAACAACUGCAUUAGCUAGCAUUCAUUUUUGUUUUGUUUUCAUGUUCUGUCCUCCAUCAGACUAAAAGCUCCUUGUGGGCAGGGACUCGUUAGCUUUCUUGGUCUCUCCAAUACUUGGCACAUCUUGUGCUCGUUAACUGAGCAGUGACAAGCUACUUUCUAAGACUUCUUUCAGGAUAUUUUCCUUAAGUUCUCACCAAGAGGAACUACAGUAGAGCCCCCUCCUCUGCUGUGUCCCUUUCCCAGGCUUCAGUUCUCCACGAUCAACUGAAGGGCUGGAGGUCCCGAGGUGGCGCUCUACCCUAGCUAGAUGUCUCCCGCUUUCCCUUUGGGAGGGAUUUUCUUUGUGGAGGGGUGGGAGGCUGUGGAGCACCCAGUGGAGGGAGAGGGCACCUAUAGAGGGGGUGAGCAGGAGUCCACUGGUAGCUGCAGUUUCAGCCCUCUGAGAUAGAUCUUGGAACAUAUCUGCCAUGGCUACCAGAUGCUACAGUCCCAGUUCUUCUCCGAUCUUGUCCUAAUCUUUAUCCUUCUGUUUUUUGGGGGGGGGGAGGAUUCUCCCCUUCAUGCCCAGAAGAAACUGCCCCAUCCAAAGCAGUCCCAAAGUAGAACGGGCUGCCGGAGAAGAUGCCUGCUGUCGCUGCAGGGCUUCAAGAAGAGCCUGGAGGACCACUUGAUGGAGGUGGGUUCCUGAUCAAGUUCAAGUUGACAACCUUUGAGUUCUCCUUUAGCUCUGUAAGACUGAAAAUGAAUAUCCCAAUCCUCCAAGUAUUAUAUUUAAUAAGAUUUAAUUAAUAACAACUAAAAUGCAAAGCUAGAGUAAAAAAAGGGGAUGCUGGGAGAUGUCGUCCAAAGGUACAAAAUGUCUCUUUAUACCGCUCAGAGUUUCUGAUGGCACUAGGAAGUGAAAGGGGGACAGGAAACCUGCCUGGAGUCUCAUCCCCCCCAAUUAACUUGCUUUGACCCCCAAAUCCCUUCUCCUGCCUCCUUCUCUGUUUCCUCGUAUCCAAAAGAAGGAAGUAGGUCCAGUUCCGACAUCUUCUGCAUCCCCCUUUCUUCCAUGCUUCCUGCACACUUUGUCACUCUGUCCAUUUCCCCGUAUCUCUACCAGCAGUCCCUUGCCCUUGGUCUUUAGCAUUGACAUUAUAUAUAUACACCCUGACACUGAGCUGGAGAUGGCACCUUGUCUAAUGCCAAUCGGGUGGGUGUGGUGCAAGUGGCACCCUAAGACAGGGAAGGGAUGGCUCAGUGCAAUUGUCACUCUAGAGGAACCUCACCCUGAUGUCAGUGGUUAGGACAAAGGCUCAGUCACUUCACCCUCGUUCCGCCUCUGCUCUGGGGAUCUUUCCCCUGUCCAGGUGAGCAACCACCCAUUUGACCACUACCAUUUCUCCCCUCCUCUUUGUCUUCUUCCAUUUUUCAAAGCUCAAAAGGCUAUAUGAAUGCUAUUGUGAUGUACAAUAAUGACCAACUCGUGACACGGAAGACAGUCUUGAACGAUCUCAGAACUCUGACCUUUUGUAACUUCUGAGGAUUGAUGGCAAAGAAUGCCUCAUCCACCUUGGAAGGGAUGCGGUGGACUAGAGGUGUGGGAUGAGUCAGACUUUUUGAAAGACGUGGGAUUAGGUGCUUGAAUGAAUUCAUUUGUUGCCAGGGAACACUAUGGGGAGAGGGAGAGGACUGAUGGGAAAUAAAAAAAGGACAUCAAUACAGUGUAAACAAAGAUGGGAAGGAGCUCAUUCUCACCCUACCCUGGCUCUUUCUCUUUCCUAGGGAGGAUGGGGCGGAGGGUGGGUCCUGCUAUGGAAAUCCAGAGAGAAGAGGGCUUCAGGGAGAGGAAGGGGAUCUCAGCAGGGACAAAGGCUAUGGAUAGCCAAAGAAGAAGGAGCAGCGAGCAAAGAGCAUUCGAUUUGGGGGGCCGUUCUGGAGAGAGUCACUUCCAGUGGUCUUCGAAGGCACCGAAAUCAAGCCAGGACUUUCCUCACUGAGUCAAAAGCCCAAACUUCAUCUAUUCAUUGACUUAGUGGAAAUGCCCACGUCUUGUUUACGGAGAUGAGGAAACCAAAGCCCAGAUGGAAUGGCCCGUCUUCUACCACACGGUCAACACAUGGCAGAGCCGCUUGACCGCAAUUAUCUUAGUAGAGGCCAACAUAAUUUUAGCUACGAGAUACAGACUCUCAAUGAACAAUGCCAUGCCCUAAUGCCCAACAAUAGGGGAGUGACUAAGCAAAUUUGGUGGUGGGCAUGAACAAUGGAAUCUCUAGCUUGCGGAUGACGUUAGCACUUGGUAAGGUGUAGACAAAAUCACGUUAAGGAAGAAAGAACCCAAAAUACAAUACAUAAGUCUGUGUAGCACAGAGAGAGUGUGUUGGGCUUGAAGUCAGAAAGAUCUGAGUUAGAAUCCAGCUUUGGACACUUAUUAGCUAGUUGACCCUAGGCAAGUCCCUUAACCUCUUGUAACUUUGGUUUCCUGAUCUGGAAAAAGGAGAUAAUCAUAGCACUAUGGGGCAGCUAAGUGGCUCAGUGGAGAGAAUGCACUGGAGUCAGGAAGAUUCAUCUUCCUGAGUUCAAAUCUAGACUCAGAUAUUAGCCAUGUGGUCUGAGCAAGUCCCUUCACCUAUUUUCCUCAGUUUCCUUAUCUGUCAAAUGAGCUGGAGAAGGAAAUGGCAAACCACUCAAGUAGCUUUUCCAGGAAAAUCUCAGAAGAGGUCACGAAGAGUGAGAUACUACCGAAAUGACUAAACAACAACAAAUAGCACCAGCCUCCUCGAGUCACUCAGUAGAGCGCAUGAGAUCACAUAAAGAAAGCACUUUGGAAACCUUAACACACCUCAGACUAGCUAUUUAUCAUCUUCAUCAUUCCCAUCCUCAUCCGUGGCAAUGCUCGCACUAUGAGCCAACCUUGACAGA